rnacentral:rRNA from 1 species
UACAGAGGUGGCAAGCGUUGUUCGGAAUUACUGGGCGUAAAGGGCGCGUAGGCGGCCUUCUAAGUCAGACGUGAAAUCCCCCGGCUUAACCUGGGAACUGCGUCUGAUACUGGGAGGCUAGAGUGCGGGAGAGGGAUGCGGAAUUCCAGGUGUAGCGGUGAAAUGCGUAGAUAUCCGGAAGAACACCUGAGGCGAAGGCGGCUUGCUGGGCCUGAUCUGACGCUGAGGCGCGAAAGCGUGGGGAGCAAACAGG